ACCGAAAUAGCUCAGGUGGGAGAGCGUUGGACUAUAGAUCGAAAGGCCCUUGGUGCGAGCCUGGGUUCCGACA
rnacentral:tRNA from 1 species